rnacentral:rRNA from 1 species
AACGAACGCUGGCGGCAUGCCUAACACAUGCAAGUCGAACGAGACCUUCGGGUCUAGUGGCGCACGGGUGCGUAACGCGUGGGAACCUGCCCUUAGGUUCGGAAUAACUCCCCGAAAGGGGUGCUAAUACCGGAUAAUGUCUUCGGACCAAAGAUUUAUCGCCUUUGGAUGGGCCCGCGUUGGAUUAGCUAGUUGGUAGGGUAAAAGCCUACCAAGGCGACGAUCCAUAGCUGGUCUGAGAGGAUGCUCAGCCACACUGGGACUGAGACACGGCCCAGACUCCUACGGGAGGCAGCAGUGGGGAAUACUGGACACUGGGCGAAAGCCUGAUCCAGCAAUGCCGCGUGAGUGAUGAAGGCCUUAGGGUUGUAAAGCUGUUUUAGCCGGGAUGAUAAUGACAGUACCGGGAGAAUAAGCUCCGGCUAACUCCGUG